rnacentral:rRNA from 1 species
GACGGAGGAUGCAAGUGUUAUCCGGAAUCACUGGGCGUAAAGCGUCUGUAGGUGGUCAAAUAAGUCAACUGUUAAAUCUUGAGGCUCAACCUCAAAAUCGCAGUCGAAACUAUUCGACUAGAGUAUAGUAGGGGUAAAGGGAAUUUCCAGUGGAGCGGUGAAAUGCGUAGAGAUCGGAAAGAACACCGAUGGCGAAGGCACUUUACUGGGCUAUUACUAACACUGAGAGACGAAAGCUAGGGUAGCAAAUGGG